CCUACGGGAGGCAGCAGUGAGGAAUAUUGGUCAAUGGGCGGAAGGCUGAACCAGCCAUGCCGCGUGAAGGUCAGUGCCCUAUGGGCGUUAAACUUCUUUUGUGCGGGAGCAAUAAUGGUCACGUGUGGCCAGACGAGAGUACCGUACGAAUAAGCAUCGGCUAACUCCGUGCCAGCAGCCGCGGUAAUACGGGGGAUGCAAGCGUUAUGCGGAUUUAUUGGGUUUAAAGGGUGCGUAGGCUGUGAGGUAAGUCAGCGGUGAAAUGCCCCCGCUCAACGGGGUGAAGUGCCAUUGAUACUGGCUGGCUGGAAUGCAGAUGCGGUGGGAGGAAUGUGUGGUGUAGCGGUGAAAUGCAUAGAUAUCACACAGAACACCGAUUGCGAAGGCAUCUCACGAAUCCGCGAUUGACGCUGAUGCACGAAAGCGUGGGUAUCAAACAGGAUUAGAUACCCCAGUAGUC
rnacentral:rRNA from 1 species